GGCUGUGUAGCUCAGUUGGUAGAGCAUAGGAUUCCAGACCCUAAGGCCGCUGGUUCGAGUCCGGUCACGGUCA